GGCCUAACACAUGCAAGUCGAACGAACGUAGCAAUACGUUAGUGGCGCACGGGUGAGUAACACGUGGAUAUCUGCCUUUUGGUUCGGGAUAACCCUGGGAAACUAGGGCUAAUACCGAAUGGUUCCUACGGGAUAAAGAUUUAUCGCCAAAAGAUGAGUCCGCGUCCGAUUAGCUAGUUGGUGAGGUAAUGGCUCACCAAGGCGACGAUCGGUAGCUGGUCUGAGAGGACGAUCAGCCACACUGGGACUGAGACACGGCCCAGACUCCUACGGGAGGCAGCAGUGGGGAAUAUUGGACAAUGGGGGCAACCCUGAUCCAGCCAUGCCGCGUGAGUGAUGAAGGCCUUCGGGUUGUAAAGCUCUUUUGGCGGGGACGAUGAUGACGGUACCCGCAGAAUAAGCCCCGGCUAACUUCGUGCCAGCAGCCGCGGUAAGACGAAGGGGGCUAGC
rnacentral:rRNA from 1 species